UAUCAUUGCAAGAGUCUGCCUUGGGGCUGUCGUCCAAUUUGUGUGCAGCUAUAUCACACUUCCACUCCAUGCCCUUGUAUCCCAGAUGGGAUCUCAGAUGAAGCGAACAAUCUUCGACGAGCAGACGGCAAAAGCCCUAAAGAAAUGGCACAAGGCGGUGGUGAAGAAGAAGCAUCAGCAGCAAAAGGAGUCAUCACAUGCGCCCUCCAAGACUGCAACCACGGACACAACCGAGGCAAGCCGGCUUAGUCAAUGCUAGUUCGUUGAGGUGGCGCCGGUGCAAAGGCACCUCCACCGCUACAAGACCAUAGCACACGUUGGCGCCACCAGGCCGCUCUCGGAUUCUGACUGCUCUGACACGGACGGCGAGACACAGACGAGGUACCUCAUCCCGCCAACGAAGCAGAGGAGCCUGGAUUCAGAGGUGCGUGUGGAUGUGGACGCUGCAACUCCAGAUCACCAUGAUAGUUUCUCCUUUCCGAGGCUGCCGCAUUCGCAGAACGUGCCGGAGAAAUGACCAACCGCUAGUCGGUCAUGAUUAGGAAUACUAACUUAUGUUUUAGAUUAGUAUAUCAUCAUACUGUUGAAGUGGUAGGGAACUUCAGCAUAUAUUGUUGAAGUGGUAGGGAACUUUACAGAAAGUGCAUGUUGUGAUAGUAGACUAGAGUACCAUUUGAGUGCAUCAGAAUUUCACAGGUACUAUCAAUGGAAGAGUCUAAUUCUCCCUUGCU